CAGCAGUAGCCGCGGGAAUACGGAGGGUGCAAGCGUUAUCCGGAUUCACUGGGCUUAAAGGGUGCGUAGGCGGGCAGGUAAGUCAGUGGUGAAAUCUUCGAGCUUAACUCGGAAACUGCCGUUGAUACUAUCUGUCUUGAAUAACGUUGAGGUGAGCGGAAUAUGUCAUGUAGCGGUGAAAUGCUUAGAUAUGACAUAGAACACCGAUUGCGAAGGCAGCUCACUAAACGCUCAUUGACGCUGAGGCACGAAAGCGUGGGGAUCAAACAGGAUUAGAUACCCGCGUAGUCCCUGUCUCUUAUAC
rnacentral:rRNA from 1 species